UUAGCACCUCAGAACUUUGAGGUUGGGACUUUUUCCGAGUUUCGGUGUGCUCAGAAGACUAAAUGUUUUUUUUUUGUGAGUGUGUGUGCGUGUGCGCGUUUCAAGAAGUUUGAUUUUUUUAUUAACAGAAACAGACUGUGGGAUAGAAAGGGAAGCAAUGGAGCAACGUAAUUCAAGCAAUCAAGUUCCAACUAGACUGUGUAUGUGUUGAGAACUUACAGUAGUUCAAUAGACCUUCAGUCAUGUCUGAACAUGAUAACCAGCUAGAGGCUCGGAGGCUUCGGGAGCUGUUUAGAGGCAGAUUCAAUCAGAACGAGGCAGAGCUACUUCUUCAGCAUCACCAGGAUCUAUAUGGAGCAGCGAACUUUGUCUUGGAGAAAAGGAGAAGACUACCUCAAGAUUACUAUAGAAGAGUCAAAGAAAGUCAAGGAUUUACUGGAAGGCGGUCUAGAGAAAGAGUCUCGACCCAGAUUAUUUGCUUGUAAAAGGUGUGAGCGAGCCUGAUGGAAAGUUGUGUCUUUACGAAAAGAGGUAUCCAGGUGCUACAGGUGUCAAGUGAAAUAUGAUCCAGUGCCUAGAGACAGUGAAUGGGGGCGUGGCAGAUUUCGAUGUGGACAUUGCCAGAAUGAGUUUAUUACCACCGCUAUCAUGGGGAUGACCGUCUCCUUAUGUCACAGCUGCAACUAUCCUGUGGCGCCCUACGAGAUUGUUCCCCCUGUAAAGAGUUCACGUCGUCGCAGAUCAAGGACCGACACCUACGAGUGGCACGGAAGCAGGAGGAGCUACCCUCUACCACCGUGGGGCGGUCCUAGCGACCAACACAACUGUAAUGGUGUCAACUGUUACAACGGCAAUGAUUUCCCACAAAAUCCUAACGGGUAAU
rnacentral:sRNA from 1 species